rnacentral:rRNA from 1 species
UGGGGAAUAUUGGACAAUGGGGGCAACCCUGAUCCAGCAAUGCCGCGUGUGUGAAGAAGGCCUGCGGGUUGUAAAGCACUUUUGGCAGGGAUGAAAAGCACUGGAUUAAUAACCCAGUGUGUUGACCUAACCUGCAGAAGAAGCACCGGCUAACUCUGUGCCAGCAGCCGCGGUAAUACAGGGGGUGCGAGCGUUAAUCGGAAUUACUGGGCGUAAAGCGUGCGCAGGCGGUUUUGUAAGUCUGAUGUGAAAUCCCCGGGCUCAACCUGGGAAUUGCAUUGGAGACUGCAAGGCUAGAAUCUGGCAGAGGGGGGUAGAAUUCCACGUGUAGCAGUGAAAUGCGUAGAUAUAGGAAGGAACACCAGUGGCGAAGGCGACCACCUGGACUGAUACUGACACUGAGGUGCGAAAGCGUGGGGAGCAAACAGGAUUAGAUACCCACGUAGUCCCUGAGCGGGCUGGCAAGGCGCAU